CAGCCCUCUCUGCCACUCCCUCCCCAGCAGGUCUCAUCUGGGCACAGAAGACUGCUUGGCCUCAAGCUAAGAUGUACUUUCAAGACUGAGCCCAUGGGCCAGGUCUCUGAGAGCGGUGGGCUGUGGAUGCUGCCAGUUCUGUCUUCCAGAAGAAGAAAAAUGACUUAGAGGUUGGGAAGACGUUUCUGGAGCCCAGGAGGCAGUCAGCUCCUGCUUAGAAGGUUGAUGAAUCCAGAAGUGAAUCUGGCUUCCCCCAUCUCUGGAUCCCUCUGGAAGCCUGUGUCAGUGGUGCUCACCACUCUAAAAAGUUCAAGCUGCGCAAAGGAAAGUCACAUUGGGCUGAAUCCUUGUUGCACGAGAAUUUUAAUAGUUGGUGUUAUCUACAUGACCCAUCUUGCCCGAGCAGUUCUCUCCCUAAUGAGUUCUGGCAGUACAAGGUAGGCAUUCCACAAAUGGCGUUCGCAUGCAGCCGUCUGUGAGUGAAUGAACUGGUGAAUGGGCAGAGUUCAAGGUAGUCUGCUGGGCUGUGGGAGAGAUGAGACUUAAUAAGGAAGUCCCGGUCCCUGCCCUAGAGGAGUUCACUGUCUACGGGGGGCUAGUUUAAACAAUCAAUGCGAAAAUAAUUCAGAACGAAGGAAACGCUAAGUAGACUCUAAGCAAUGUGACAUGGUGUGGCCAGUUCCAAGCAACAAGGAGAGCCAAGUCUCAGCUCAAACCUCGGGGCCUGAUCUCAGAAAGAGCAGCACCAAUUCUUACGACAUCCAGUUGCUUUUUUCGAUUCUUUCAGUUGUGAAGUCAUCAAAGUUGCCUUACUCUAACAAAUUCACCAGGGAGACUUGGCUGGCUGCAAAGAAGAAAGUCUGUUUACAUUAAAAAGGGGGGAAAAAAAAAAAAGCAAAACAGAUGAACUACUGCAAGAAAACCAAAAAUCAGAAAAAGCUGUUGGUGGCUUAAUAUGCUCUUUAGCGGCUUCAGAAGAUCUGACUCAUGUCUUUUCCUAAUAUGUCUUCCCAUGUCAAAAUCCACCACCUCAAAGGGAAGCAGAAGAUGGUCUUACGGAGACUAUGCUCUAGGCAGCGGCUUGUGGAUGGUGCCAAUGUGUUAGCUCACCGCCCGGAGUGCAAAGUCCUUUUAGGAAAUUGAUUUUCCUUGGAUAAAGUCACUUCCCUCUCUGCACCUCAGUCUCUUCCACUGUAAGAUGAAGCAGUUGGAUGAGAUCAAGCAUGGCAAAUUUGUGGCACACUUGCCACUCCUUACCACUCCAUGCUCACGACAGGCACUGCUAAUUGAGCUAAGCACCUUUCCACACCGAGCCCAGACAUACCAGGCCUACUCAACAGAGGAUUCCAGUCAC
rnacentral:lncRNA from 1 species